CCUUGACUUUUGAGGCAAGUACUGCAGCAGUCAUUUUAAAGAUGCAGUAAGCCCUUUUGCAGUGGAACCCUGGCCACCGUGAAAUCUUCCUCCUCCAGCUGAGAGGUAAAAGCCUAAAUGUAAGCAGGUGUCUUCUCUCUGCCUACUCCCUUGCCGAAAGGGGAUGGUUCUAACCCUUUCAUUCUACUAGUUACAAGCAGGAGCUCAGCCAAAGCCUAGAAGGAAUUUCUGCACUUUGUAGAUUGGGACCCUGAAGUCUGGGAGCCACUUGCUUUCCAGAUCUAUCAAUGUCUUGCAGAACUUUGCAGAUCCCAAGGGUCUAGCUGAAAUAACUGAGAAGGAAGGAGCUGGAAUGGGUUAGUGCCUACAACCUGUCUCCUGAUUAGUGUGCCAGAAGUCCAUCUUUCUAUAGGGAGUGCAAAUGAAGGCAUUAUAUGGAUGAAGGUCUGGAUCAUCCUGGGCAAGGUCCAUCACUAUAACCUUUAGAUCUAUGGGGAAAAAAUGUUCUCUUAAAUUAGAUCUAUUUGGUGUUUGUGAAGACAUAUGGAGUGAGAAUACUGGAAACCACAUGCCUGCAUUUAUCUGAAGGUUGGGGAUUACCUUCCUGACAGGAACCAGAGGACUGUUGCGAGGAGGCCUCGUCUGGUGCUGAUACUUCUCUCCCUGGAGCCUCACACAAUACGGCAAUCUCUGCUUGGUAGAGGCCCCUUAGGAAUCAGGGCCAGCUCACACGGGUUAAGCGCUCUCACAACUAAAAUAUAAAUGACAAUCUUUUUCAAAGGUCUUGCUUCUUCUGUGGCCUUCUUCUGCAGAU